UACAAGUACCCUGAGGGAAAGUUGAAAAGAACUUUGAAGAGAGAGUUCAAAAGGACGUGAAACCGCUCGUAGGGAAACGGAUAGAACCACGAAGUGUAGCUGGAAGGAGAAUUCAGCUCUUUCGCACGGUGUUGCCGGAACAUCAGGCUGUGGGGUAUGCUUUCAUACAGCAUCAAGAUCACCAGUGCCGGGGUAACUCGGUGCUGGCCUUGAGCCCCGCGGUCUACGGUAUGUUCCAGGAUAACUCUAGGCAACAUUCGUGUGGGGAGUGCAUUUUCUCAUCUUCCGAGCUCGAGUCUCGACCAGUGUGGCGGAGUAUUGAGAGAAUACUCGUAUACAGUGGCCAUAGAAAGGUAUGCUAACACCAUACCUGAUCUACACACGGUUUCUCGCCACUACUGUGCAUCCUUGCGGUAUACAGACUAGUGUUGAGCCGGGUUAGUCAGCUAUGGCCACAUACACACUGGACAAGAAUCUCUGCGUAUGCAGGGUCAACACAAUGCCCGGUGAGGUGCUCCCGGUAUACCCGAGUAGUGUAUUCGUUAUUGAAUGCUGUUUUUGUACUCAGUGCAAGAACGAUUCAUGGUUACGCUGUCUCUUUGGUGGUAUGCUAGUACAUCUUGCCGUGGUUAUCUUGGACUGUUGAUAUGAUUCGGAGGCAAGUAGAUCGGUACUCUAUCCGACCCGUCUUGAAACACGGACCAAGG
rnacentral:rRNA from 1 species